CGAAAGUGUAAUUGGUGUUCAAAGGAGAAAGCUUUCAGAAGCGCUUUUGGAUGCUCAGAAGUGCUUUGUCUUGUUUGAUGCUAUCUUCCGGAAAGUGAAAAAUUAUUGAAGACUCAAGAGUGGUUUCGGUUCCGGCUCCGGUUUAACAGUCUGAUGGACGAUAGGUUCAAUUGUGUACUGGUUUAGAUUUGUUGCUGCAGGACGUUACAGGUUGUUGCUGUCAUGAAACUUACCAUGGAACCGAUUUUAUUAUGCAGGUCGUGGAUUCCGAGUCUUCAAAGCAAAGCAAAAUGGCUUGGCGCGUUGCGAACUCCAUACCAGCUGUUGUUGGAUUCGUACUGUGGUCUGCAAAGAGACAUAAUUAUGAUUGAAUUGCACUGUAACUUGUAUUGUUUGAAAUGUAUUCUAACAACCACGUAACACUUUGGUUCAAAACGGAAGGCUCUUUGCAGUAACCGGAGGUAGCAUCAUUGCCAUGCCAGCAGGGGUUGCUCCCGGAAAUUAUCUUUUAC